UGCAAGUCGAGCGGUAACAGAUCUAGCUUGCUAGAUGCUGACGAGCGGCGGACGGGUGAGUAACGCGUAGGAAACUGCCGAGUAGUGGGGGAUAGCCCAGAGAAAUUUGGAUUAAUACCGCAUACGCCCUACGGGGGAAAGGAGGGGAUCUUCGGACCUUUCGCUAUUCGAUGUGCCUGCGUGAGAUUAGCUUGUUGGUGAGGUAAAGGCUCACCAAGGCGACGAUCUCUAGCUGGUUUGAGAGGAUGAUCAGCCACACUGGGACUGAGACACGGCCCAGACUCCUACGGGAGGCAGCAGUGGGGAAUAUUGCACAAUGGGGGAAACCCUGAUGCAGCCAUGCCGCGUGUGUGAAGAAGGCCUUCGGGUUGUAAAGCACUUUCAGCAGUGAGGAAAGGUUGUAAGUUAAUACCUUGCAGCUAUGACGUUAACUGCAGAAGAAGGACCGGCUAACUCCGUGCCAGCAGCCGCGGUAAUACGGAGGGUCCGAGCGUUAAUCGGAAUUACUGGGCGUAAAGCGCGCGUAGGCGGCUAGGUCAGUCAGAUGUGAAAGCCCCGGGCUUAACCUGGGAAUUGCAUCUGAUACUGCUUGGCUAGAGUACAGAAGAGGGUGGUGGAAUUUCCU
rnacentral:rRNA from 1 species